rnacentral:rRNA from 1 species
GGUUAAAAAGCUCGUAGUUGGAUUUCUGUCGAAGGCUACCGGUCCGCUCUAUGAGACGUGAAUCUGUUUAGUCUUUGGCAUCCUCUCGAAGAAGGCUGCUGUGCUUGAGUGCAUGGUGUCGUUUUCGAGACUUUUACUUUGAGGAAAUUAGAGUGUUCGCAGCAGGCAAGCGCCUUGAAUACAUUAGCAUGGAAUAAUAACUUAGGAUCUUGGUUCUAUUUUGUUGGUUUUUAGUUUCGAGAUAAUGGUUAAUAGGGAUAGUUGGGGGCAUUUGUAUUAACGCGUCAGAGGUGGAAUUCUUGGAUUGCGUUACGACAAACUACUGCGAAAGCAUUUGCCAAGGAUGUUUUCAUUGAUCAAGAACGAAAGUAUGGGGAUCGAAGAUGAUUAAUACCGUG